CCCUUGGUUGGCCUAUGUUUGGGUUGAUUAUAAUUGGCUAGUGUUUUCUCUCUCCUUCUUUUUUGCUAUAGUUCGAUUAGCAUGAUUAUUAGCUCAUUCAAGUUGUACUAUUUUCACGACACACUCCUAGUUGUAUAUACCAACAAAGCUGUUUGAUCUUUGAUGUAUACAAGUAUUUCGGCCCCCUCUGUUCUCUGUGUCUAGGUGUAUAUACCCACAAAGCCGGUAACAUAUGUUUGGUUACCUCCUUGUUCACUAAAUUACUCGCUGCCUGUUUGUUGGAGCUGGAAGUGAAAACCUUAGUUUUAUAUUUUGCACCUAGUAUGAAAGCUUAUGUAGUUGUAUCUCAGAAAUAUUUUGUGUUGAUGAUUUCACAUAUGUAAUCAUGCCUCGGUUACAUGGUUCUAAUCAUCUUUCACCUUACCACACCUUUUCAGGUCGGCGGCAUGAUGCUUCGGGUGCGAUAACCACUUCGUAUCUGGUGAAAUCUCAUUUGGUCGCGUUACUACAUAAAUAUGGUUGCCAGACAUAUUGUUGUGCCUAUGGAAGUGAUGGACGUAUUACACGAACAUGUGUGUUCUUAUGACCAGGGACGGAGCCAGGAAAUGGGGAUGAGGGGGGCGAGAAUUUUAAGCAUAAAAAUCUAAGAAAAUAUAGUCAUAUAUUACAGUAAGCAUCCUUAGGUCCGUAUCUAUUAAUUUAAAAUCGAUCCAGUGGCCACCAUGAUAGAAAAAUCUACAUAAUUUCAAUCCUAAAAAAAACUACAUUAUUUCUAUAAUACAAAACCUCGCUGGUAGUUUUGUUCUCUUAAUGUCCACAGGCACAAGUGAACGAUUGAACACUUGCCAAUAGAAUUUUGCCGUUUGUAGUUUCGAUACAAGCUAACUUAAUGUUGGAUGAUCAUCCAAGGACUAACUAAAACACGACCAAAAUCCAAGAGGAGAGUGGACUAACUUUUCUUCUUCGUUGCCUCCUCCCUGCUCAUCUUGAUCAAGCGGCCGGCCGGCCGGGCGUGCACCCGUGCAGCCUUGCAUGACCGCCCUCUUCUCACCAUCUAUCUUCGAUCUGCAAUGGAAACCAAGCCUGAUCUAAAUAGCCCUCGGCGGCGGCGGCGGCGGCGGCAGUGGCGAACAGGAGCACAAACGAAACAGGUGUGGCGAACAGGAUCUGUGUAACCGCGUGUGUGCUGCCACCAUGGUUUCCACUUUCCAAGUCCCAGGCCGGCUGGCCCAAUCCACAUGUGUGUUGCUGGUUUCCAACUGAUCUAUAUGGGCUUCUGUCUGCAGUUGAUGGGUUGGGGCCUGAGAGUUUGAGAGUUUUCAGGUGACGUUGCGUUUCACAGGGGGGGGCAGAACCGCAGAAUUAGUCACGCAGAUGCUAAAUUAGUCAACCAACCAACCGCUAUUAAGGGGAGGAAAAAAUCGUUAGGGGGGGUCUAGCCCCCCCUCGUCCCCCCUUGGAUUCGUCCCUGCUUAUGACACUGCUUGUCAGGUUUUCCUAGUACUGUAUCUCGACGAUUGGUUGAAUUGCGAAUGCGUAUGCGGAUAUCUAUGGACGGCAGAGGGAAUGUAUCGUGAAGUCUUUUCGGGAGGGGAAUACGGUGAUUAGUUACUGGUAAGCAAGGACUAAAUUGCUUUGCCCAUGGUUUUACCUGCCCCGCAUGGCGACAUGC
rnacentral:lncRNA from 1 species